UACGUAGGCAGCAAGCGUUGUUCGAGAUGUACUGGGCGUAAAGGGUGCGUAGGCGGCUAUUUAAGUUUGGUGUGAAAUCUCCCGGCUCAACUGGGAGGGUGCGCCGAAUACUGAGUGGCUAGAGUGCGGGAGAGGAAAGUGGAAUUCCUGGUGUAGCGGUGAAAUGCGUAGAUAUCAGGAGGAACACCGGUGGUGUAAACGGCUUUCUGGACCGUAACUGACGCUGAGGCACGAAAGCGUGGGUAGCAAACAGG
rnacentral:rRNA from 1 species